UACGAAGGGUGCUAGCGUUGUUCGGAAUCACUGGGCGUAAAGCGCGCGUAGGCGGCUUUUCAAGUCAGGGGUGAAAUGCCGAGGCUCAACCUCGGAACUGCCUUUGAUACUGGCGAUCUUAGAGUCCGGGAGAGGUGAGUGGAACUCCGAGUGUAGAGGUGAAAUUCGUAGAUAUUCGGAAGAACACCAGUGGCGAAGGCGGCUCACUGGCCCGGUACUGACGCUCAGGUGCGAAAGCGUGGGGAGCAAACAGG
rnacentral:rRNA from 1 species